GACGUUCAAACACCGGUUCCCUUAUGAUCAUGAAGUUAAGCAACGUCGAGCCUGGUCAGUACAUAGUUCAUGGCUGAGAUGGGCGACCGCUUGGGAAUACCAGGUGCUGUAA